AGCCUCACUGUAGAUGAAAAUGGGUACUGCUGUUCAUGGUGUCCAGAAAUGGUUGAUGUGCCCACCUUAAGACAUAGGUUUUGUAUCCAUCACAGUCAUUUUAUUGCAGUGGUGACAGUGAGACCUGUGACUUUU
ensembl:snoRNA